rnacentral:rRNA from 1 species
GAUGAACGCUGGCGGCGUGCCUAAUACAUGCCAGUCGAGCGAACGGACGAGAAGCUUGCUUCUCUGAUGUUAGCGGCGGACGGGUGAGUAACACGUGGAUAACCUACCUAUAAGACUGGGAUAACUUCGGGAAACCGGAGCUAAUACCGGAUAAUAUUUUGAACCGCAUGGUUCAAAAGUGAAAGACGGUCUUGCUGUCACUUAUAGAUGGAUCCGCGCUGCAUUAGCUAGUUGGUAAGGUAACGGCUUACCAAGGCAACGAUGCAUAGCCGACCUGAGAGGGUGAUCGGACACACUGGAACUGAGACACGGUCCAGACUCCUACGGGAGGCAGCAGUAGGGAAUCUUCCGCAAUGGGCGAAAGCCUGACGGAGCAACGCCGCGUGAGUGAUGAAGGUCUUCGGAUCGUAAAACUCUGUUAUUAGGGAAGAACAUAUGUGUAAGUAACUGUGCACAUCUUGACGGUACCUAAUCAGAAAGCCACGGCUAACUACGUG